rnacentral:rRNA from 1 species
GAUGAACGCUGGCAGCAUGCUUAACACAUGCAAGUCGAUCGGUAAGUGGUGCUUGCUCCUUGGCGACCUUGGCGGGCGGGUGAGUGACGCGUAAGGGGCUUACCUCCUGGACUGGGCUAAUAGGGAACAACUCCUGACAGUACCGGAUACUGGCAUUGCGGUGCCUGUCUUUUUGAUGGAAGGAGACGCCUGCGGGGACGCUUGCGUCCUAAUAGCUAGCUGGUGAGGUAAUGGCUCACCAGGUGGAGGAGAGGGAGGCGGCCGGAGAGGGUGGGCGGCCACAAGGGGACUGAGAGACGGCCGUUACUGCUACGAGAGGAAGCAGUGGGGAAUAUUGGAGAAGGGGGGCAACGCUGAUGCAGCAAUUCUGUGUGUACGAAGAAGGUUUUCGGAGUGUAAAGUGCUUUCAGCAGGGAAGAAGUAAGUGACGGUACCUGCAGAAGAAGCGACGGCUAAAUACGUG